GGAAUAUUGGACAAUGGGCGAAAGCCUGAUCCAGCAACGCCGCGUGGAGGAUGAAGGCCCUCGGGUUGUAAACUCCUGUCAGGUGGGACGAAGGAAGCUUGGUUAAUAGCCAGGCUACUUGACGGUCCCAUCAGAGGAAGGCCCGGCUAACUCCUUGCCAGCAGCCGCGGUAAUACGGAGGGGGCAAGCGUUAUUCGGAAUUAUUGGGCGGAAAGGGCGCGUAGGCGGCUUGACAAGUCAGGGGUGAAAUCCCUCGGCUCAACCGGGGAACUGCCUCUGAAACUGUCAAGCUUGAGUCCGGGAGAGGGUAGUGGAAUUCCCAGUGUAGCGGUGAUAUGCGUAGAUAUUGGGAGGAACACCAGUGGCGAAAGCGGCUACCUGGACCGGUACUGACGCUGAGGCGCGAAAGCGUGGGGAGCAAAC
rnacentral:rRNA from 1 species